GUCGGGUUGUGACCUGACCUCCUCCUCCCUCGAAGAGUUGACCUCCGUGAUCAAUAAGAACCGAUCUCUGACCAGACUGGAUCUGUCGGGAAAUAAGUAUGAGGACGUGGGAGUGAAGAGACUAUGCGAGGCCCUCCGAGAUCCGGGCUGUACACUGGAGGAGUUCAGAGUGGGGUAUUGUGAGAUGACGGCUUCCUGCGCUGAGGAGUUCCUGGCCGUCAUUAAUACAAACAAGUCUCUGAAGGAGCUGAACGUAUCGUUUGCCUACGAGGAGGAAGAACCCCCUGCAGAUCUGGACUUGAUGUGCCGCAGAUUCGAGCACCCGGCCUGCACUUUGGAGAAAAAUGAUACCCAGGAUGGAAUGUUCAUCUACUUCAAAUACAGGAAACCAGAGUGAUGACUGCGACGUCCCUGAGGGUCCAGACCCCUCCCAUU